rnacentral:rRNA from 1 species
GGCCAGACUCCUACGGGAGGCAGCAGUGGGGGAUAUUGCACAAUGGGGGGAACCCUGGUGCAGCGACGCCGCGUGGGUGAAGGAGCGUUUCGGCGCGUAAAGCCCUAUCGGCAGGGAAGAAGGAGGACGGUACCUGACUAAGAAGCCCCGGCUAACUACGUGCCAGCAGCCGCGGUAAUACGUAUGGUGCAAGCGUUAUCCGGAUUUACUGGGUGUAAAGGGAGCGUAGGCGGUUUAGCAAGUCAGAAGUGAAAGCCCGGGGCUCAACUCCGGGACUGCUUUUGAAACUGUUGAACUAGAUUGCAGGAGAGGUAAGUGGAAUUCCUAGUGUAGCGGUGAAAUGCGUAGAUAUUAGGAGGAACACCAGUGGCGAAGGCGGCUUGCUGGGCUUUUACUGACGCUGAGGCUCGAAAGUGUGGGGAGCAAACAGGAUUAGAUACCCGCGUA